rnacentral:rRNA from 1 species
GACGAACCGUGCAAACGUUGUUCGGAAUCACUGGGCUUAAAGGGCGCGUAGGCGGGCUCGAUAGUCAGGGGUGAAAGCCCACAGCUCAACUGUGGAAGUGCCUUUGAUACUGCGAGUCUCGAGGGAGGUAGGGGCGUGCGGAACUUCCGGUGGAGCGGUGAAAUGCGUAGAUAUCGGAAGGAACACCGGUGGCGAAAGCGGCGCGCUGGACCUCUUCUGACGCUGAGGCGCGAAAGCCAGGGGAGCAAACGGG